GAUGAACGCUGGCGGCGUGCCUAACACAUGCAAGUCGAGCGAACAGAUCCGGCGCUUGUUCCUUUCACGUUUGCGGCGGACGGGUGAGUAACACGUGGAUACCCUACCUAUCAGACUGGGAUAACCUCGGGAAACCGGCGCUUACACCGGAUAACCUCUUGCUCCGCGUGGUUCAUUAGUGAAAGUCGGCUUUGCUGUCACUAAUAGCUGGAUCCGCGCCGUAUUAGCUAGUUGGUAGGGUCACGGCCUACCAAGGCGACGAUACGUAGCCGACGUGAUGGGGGGGUCGGCCGCACGGGAGCUGGAACAGGGUCCAGACUCCUGCGGGAGGGAGCAGUAGGGAAUCGUCCGCAGUAGGCGGAAGCCUGACGGAGCGACGCCGCGUGAGUGGUAGAGGUCUUGGGAGCGUAAUACUCUGUUAUCAGUGAAGAACAAAUGUGGAAGUAACUGUGCACAUCGUGACGGUACCUGGUCAAAAAGCCACGGCUAACUACGUG
rnacentral:rRNA from 1 species